GAUGAACGCUGGCGGCGUGCCUAAUACAUGCAAGUCGAGCGAACGGACGAGAAGCUUGCUUCUCUGAUGUUAGCGGCGGACGGGUGAGUAACACGUGGAUAACCUACCUAUAAGACUGGGAUAACUUCGGGAAACCGGAGCUAAUACCGGAUAAUAUUUUGAACCGCAUGGUUCAAAAGUGAAAGACGGUCUUGCUGUCACUUAUAGAUGGAUCCGCGCUGCAUUAGCUAGUUGGUAAGGUAACGGCUUACCAAGGCAACGAUGCAUAGCCGACCUGAGAGAGUGAUCGGCCACACUGGAACUGAGAAACGGGCCAGACUCCUACGGGAGGAAGCAGUGGGGAAUCUUCCGCAAAGGGCGAAAGCCUGACGGAGCAACACCGCGUGAGUGCUGAAGGUCUUCGGUUCGUAAAACUCUGUUAUUAGGGAAGAACAUAUGUGUAAGUAACUGUGCACAUCUUGACGGUACCUAAUCAGAAAGCUACGGCUAACUACGAG
rnacentral:rRNA from 1 species